CAGUAGCCGCGGGAACACAGAGGGUGCGAGCGUUAAUCGGAUUUACUGGGCGUAAAGCGUGCGUAGGCGGCUUCUUAAGUCGGAUGUGAAAUCCCUGAGCUUAACUUAGGAAUUGCAUUCGAUACUGGGAAGCUAGAGUAUGGGAGAGGAUGGUAGAAUUCCAGGUGUAGCGGUGAAAUGCGUAGAGAUCUGGAGGAAUACCGAUGGCGAAGGCAGCCAUCUGGCCUAAUACUGACGCUCAGGUGCGAAAGCGUGGGGAGCAAACAGGAUUAGAUACCCCCGUAGUCCCUGUCUCUUAUAC
rnacentral:rRNA from 1 species